rnacentral:rRNA from 1 species
AUUGAACGCUGGCGGCAUGCUUUACACAUGCAAGUCGAACGGUAACAGGCCGCAAGGUGCUGACGAGUGGCGAACGGGUGGGUAAUGCAUCGGAACGUGCCCAGUCGUGGGGGAUAACUACUCGAAAGAGUAGCUAAUACCGCAUACGAUCUAUGGAUGAAAGCGGGGGACCGUAAGGCCUCGCGCGAUUGGAGCGGCCGAUGUCAGAUUAGGCAGUUGGUGGGGUAAAGGCUCACCAAGCCAACGAUCUGUAGCUGGUCUGAGAGGACGACCAGCCACACUGGGACUGAGACACGGCCCAGACUCCUACGGGAGGCAGCAGUGGGGAAUUUUGGACAAUGGGCGCAAGCCUGAUCCAGCAAUGCCGCGUGCAGGUAGAAGGCCUUCGGGUUGUAAACUGCUUUUGUACGGAACGAAACGGCUCUGGUUAAUACCCGGGGCUAAUGACGGCACCGUAAGAAUAAGCACCGGCUAACUACGUG